AAGUGCAAAUGCACUGAGAGAAAAGUUGAGCAUAAGAGUAAUCAGAUGCAACAUGCAAAAGAGAAGAGUAUACUGGUUUGGACAUGUGAUGUGUUUGAAUGAAGAUAGCUGUAUAAAGAAAAGUUGAUCACUUAAAGUUGAUGGCAACUGUUGAAGAGGG